UUAAUUUAUUGUCCACCACGUUAUAAGAUUUUUAUUACGAGCAUCUUACUUAAUAGAACAACGAAAAAUGAGGUACGGUGGGCAGACCCCAUCUGGGCAUGAGUCGAGCCACUGGGGCAUUUCGCUUGAUAUUAGAAUUAAAAGAAGAGGUGCAAGGUGUGCGCACAGCGAAAAAAAUGAUAGCAAGGGGGAGGGAAGGAGAAGGGGUAUAUGUAUUU
rnacentral:lncRNA from 1 species